UUUACGCAGAUGGCGAAGGCGAUGCGAUUUCUCCCAUCCACCUCGCUUCGAAUUUACAUAUUUACAAUUUUUAGGGGAGAAGAUGGAGGAAGAAAUGCAGAAAUGCAACACCGAUUGAGUCUACUUCUUGGCAUCUCCUCUCACUUGUAAGAAGGGCAUUGAGUGUGAGUACCGGCAUAAUGAUAUUGCUAGGCUCAAUCCCAGGGAUUGUUGGUACUGGUUAUUAGGGAGCUGUCUCAAUCUAACUUGUGGUUUCCGGCACCCGCCAUUAGAGAGUCGUAAUGAAAAAUCAGUUGAAUAUGCUCCUACUUACCUGUGAACAAGACAUGUGUUCCCUGUUUCUUCUAUUACAAUGGAUUUUGCAAUAGAGCUUAAAAAUGUGCGUUUCUGCAUGGACCUGAUAAUGGGGAUCCCACACGGAAAACAUCAAAGACACUGUCUGCAGUCAAUGAUGGACCAUAUCUUGAGAAAAAGACA